UCUCCAAUCACCUUUUUCCUGCCUGCACAACUGCGGAACUGCUGUGCUGCCCCCAACUCCUCGUCUCGUCCUCCCUCCCCAGAUCUCGAUGCGGCGCAGGCUCCCCGGCGACGCGCCGCCGUCGGCGGCCGCGGGGCCCGGGACCGGCCAUGCGUCUUCCGCCUCCGCGCCGUCCGAGGCCGGCCUCGCGCAGCUGUCGGCCGCCAUCGCGGCGGGGGAGGACCUGGGCCCGUUCGUCCGGCGCGCGUUCGCGUGCGGCCGCCACGAGCCGCUGGUCGCCUCGCUCCGCGCCGCGGCCCGGGAUCGGGAGGCUGAGAUCGAGGAGCUCUGCCGCGCUCACUUCCACGACUUCAUCCGCGCCGUCGACGACCUCCGCUCCCUCCUCGCCGACGCCGACGCGCUCAAGGGCUCCCUUUCUGCCUCCCACUCCGCGCUCCUCUCCUCGGCUGCGCCGCUGCUCGCUUCGCUAGAGUCAUUCCUCGCCGCGCGCUCGCUCGCCGGGAACCUCUCCUCCGCGCUCGCCUCCUCCCGCCGAUGCGUCCGUCUUCUCGCGCUCGCCGCGCGGGCGAACGCGCACCUCCAGGCCGGCAACCAAGGUCUCUACCUCGCCCUGCGCGCCGUCGACGCCAUCGACCGCGAUCUCGCCUCCGGGCCCGAGCCGCUGCCGCUCCCCACGCUCCGACGCAUGCUGCUCAGCGUCGUCCCUGCUGUGCGCGCCCACGCCGAGCGCGAGAUCUCCAGGGAGUUCUCCGACUGGAUGGUCAGCAUCCGUGCCGCGUCGAGGCACCUCGGUCAGGUGGCCAUCGGCCGCUCAGCCGCCUCCAGGCAGCGCCAGGAGGAGCUCCGCUCCAAGCACCGCCCGCUGGAGUGCAUCACCCUGGAUGAUGAUGGAGUCGGUGACCUCGACGACUUUGCAGCAGCUGCAGCAACAGCCGAUGCGGCGGAUGGUGCCGCGGCAGCCUCUUUUGACCUUACACCGCUCUACCGAGCGAUGCACAUUCACCAGACGCUGGCACUGGGGGAGCGGUUCAAGAAGUACUACUUGGAGAACAGGAAGCUGCAGCUUACAUCGGACUUUGAUGUCAUUGCGGCAACACCAUUCCUUGAGUCCCAUCAGAUGUUCUUCUCGCAAAUUGCUGGGUUCUUCAUUGUUGAGGACCGUGUGUUCCGAACAGGGGGUGGGCUCACAUCUCGGCCAGAUGUAGACACACUUUGGGAUGCCGCUGUGGGGAAGAUGGUCUCUGUGAUGGAGGACAACUUCUCCCGGAUGCAGACAGCAAAUCACUUGCUUCUCAUCACUGAUUAUGCUGCUUUGCUUGCUGCCACGAUGAGGCGGUAUGGUUAUCCAGUAGGGAUGCUGCUCGAAGUGCUGGCUAAGCACCGGGACAAGUACCAUGAUUUGCUGCUUGCAGAUUGCCGUAGGCAGGUGGCAGAGGCACUGGCUGCAGAUAAGUUUGAUCAGAUGCUCAUGAGGAAAGAGUAUGAAUACUCAAUGAACGUGCUUGCAUUUGGGAUUCAGAACUCAGAUAUCACCCCAGCUUUCCCAUACGUUGCACCAUUCUCAUGCACUGUCCCGGACAUCUGUCGCAUUGUCCGGUCAUUCAUUGAAGAUUCUGUGAGCUUCAUGGCUCAUGGGGGUGGUGGGGACACAUAUGCAGCAGUGAAAAAGUACCUUGGCCGGAUUCUCUCUGAGGUGGUGGAUGCUUCGAUUCAAAAGCUUGUGGAUUCAGGCAGUGGUCUGAGUGUGUCCCAGGCCAUGCAGGUUGCUGCAAACAUGUCUGUCAUGGAGCGUGCAUGUGAGUUUUUCACACGCCAUGCAGCACAACUGUGUGGUGUGCCGCUGCGUGCUGUGGAGCGUGGUCGGCGUGACUUCCCACUUCGCAGGUCCUGUGAUGCAGCGGAGGCGCUCCUGCUUCGUCUGCUGUGUUCCAAGGCUGAUGAGUUCAUGCGGCAGUCUGAUUGUGUCAACUGGAUCGCUGAUAACCCUCCUCCUGGCGGCAAUGAGUAUGCGAAUGAGGUCAUCAUAUAUCUCGAGACACUCACUUCAACUGCGCAGCAGAUCCUCCCUCUUCCAGUGCUCCGUCGUGUACUUGUGGCAGUUCUUGCCCACAGCUCUGAGAGGAUUGUUGAGCUCUUCUUGAAUGAUUCAGUCAAGCGGUUCAAUGCUAAUGCGGUUACUGGUAUAGAUACUGAUCUCAAAAUGUUUGAGGCUUUUGCAGAAAGCAUGUUGAGCCUGUUUGUGGACUCUGAUCAAGAGUCCGUGAAAAAUGAAAUGAAGGCAGCAUUAGUGGAGGCAAGGCAGCUGGUGAAUCUUCUUAUGAGCAAUAGCCCAGAGAAUUUCCUAAACCCAGUGAUCCGUGAAAAGAGCUACAACAAGCUAGAUUACAAAAAGGUUGCAAUCAUCUCGGAGAAGUUUAGGGAUGCCUCAGAGAGCUAUUUCUCAACAUUUGGAACAAGGGGUGCUAGGCAGAACCCAAAGAAGAAAUCUCUUGAUACCCUGAUCAAGAGGCUCAGAGAAGCCAGCUAGAACUUCUAGUCUCCUCCCUGCUGUAAUAGAAGGUGACUGCGUCAAGUGUGCCUGUCAUUGUUAAUGAACUAGCAACACUGGUAUAUGAUUUCUGAAUCACGCAUGGAUACUCAAUGAUUUUUUUUGUAACACAAUAAUCUGGCAUGAUAAUAUGCGAUAGAUACUAAGAUGCUGUAAGACAGUACUGUCAGUCAUGCAAGACAUACCUUGCAAGGCUAAUCCAGAUGAUUAGUUAUGAAAUACUUGGAAGGUUCAAGGGGAAAAACAGACAAUUAGUUAUCUGUUUGCUGCACAAUUUUACUAAUUGAGACAAAAUUCUGUUUCAUACUUUACUAUUUGUGCAUGGCUACUUUAUGCAGCUUACCAGCCAAUUUUCUAUAGUGAAUGUGGAUUUUGUGUCCAGGGGUUCCGGCGUCCCCAUUAGCGAAUUCAGCAUGUUGCAAUGUUUCAAAAAUGCAUAAAAAAAUCAUGAAUGUUGUACACAUGAAGUUAAGUAAUUCUGUAAAGAUUCAGCAUCAAAUUCAUCCUAGAUGUCAAGAAACAAAAUAGACACGAAUCAGUCUGGCAUUGUUCAUCACGUGCUACAGUACCACUUAUAUUUUUUGAAUCUCGAUAUUUUCAAAAUGAAUUUUUACAUGUUUACACAUGAUUUUUUAUGAAAUUUUUUGAACCAUUGCAACAUGUUGGAUUAUCGCAUUUUCACUAAUGGGGAUGCCGGAACAACUGGUCACCAAUGAAUUUUCCCUUCUUUAGUUUAGCAUGGUACAUCUCUAUUGCCGAUCCAAGCUCACGGAUGGAGAAGUUCUGAAACUGUUUCUUGUCAGGUGACUUGGCAUGAUUAACAUGAUGUUUGCAUAGGGUGACAUAGCUUAAGAAGAAGACUUGACAGAUCAAUCUACAGUUUUGUCGGUUUGUACUGUUCCUCUGUCGAUCUACUAUCGUUGGCUGAACUCAUCUCUGCACCCGCCUCCUUCCGCCCGUCACGUGGAAGUGCUUCACUCCGGUCUAUCGCCUUUGGUUCGACCGGCCACCUGGAAGUGCUCCACUCCGGCUCGUCGCUCGCCCUGGUCCGUUCGCUCCGGUUUGUCGCUCACCCCCUCUACCCUGGACUUAGCCAACGACUCGUGUGGCUCGAUCCGCGCCGAUUCAGCUCAACCUGCCGUUAACACACCUUGGACUGGGCUCGCCGCUAGCUUGUCUUGGAUCCGGCCACCGCCGAAAUUCCAAUUUGGCCUCCAGGGAAUAUAAGUUUCUAUUCCUAACAUUUUGGAGGCCUUGUCAAUGUCCAAAAUGACUUGUAAAAGAGCACAGAGGAAGUACAAGUUGGUAAUAUUGUUUGAUGAACUA